rnacentral:snRNA from 1 species
AGCUUUGUGCAGUGGCAAUAUUGUAGCCAAUGCAGUUUAUCUGAGGUGCGAUUAUUGCUAAUUAAAAACUCUUCCCAAUACCCUGCCACGACUACUUAAAAUACAGUCAGCAUUGGCAAUUUUUGACAGUCUCUAGGGAGA